CAACCAGAUCAUGUUGAAACACCGGUUCUCGUCUGAUCACCGAAGUUAAGCGACAUUGAGUCAGUAUUCACAUGUGUGACCGCUGGGGAAUACCAGUUCUUGCA